CCGAGUUAGGGUCUUUAUGGCCCGACCUCCAACCCUUUGUUUAUUAUACCAUGUUGCUUUGGCGGGCCUGCCUUUCGGGGCUGCCGGGGGUACUGCCGCCCCUGACUCGUGCCUGCCAGGAGCCUUCCUUAAAUUCUGUGUGAAACUGUGUUGUCUGAGUCCCAAUAUCAAAUUAAA
rnacentral:misc_RNA from 1 species